rnacentral:rRNA from 1 species
GACGAACGCUGGCGGCGUGCUUAACACAUGCAAGUCGAACGGAAAGGCCCUGCUUUUGUGGGGUGCUCGAGUGGCGAACGGGUGAGUAACACGUGAGUAACCUGCCCUUGACUUUGGGAUAACUUCAGGAAACUGGGGCUAAUACCGGAUAGGAGCUCCUGCUGCAUGGUGGGGGUUGGAAAGUUUCGGCGGUUGGGGAUGGACUCGCGGCUUAUCAGCUUGUUGGUGGGGUAGUGGCUUACCAAGGCUUUGACGGGUAGCCGGCCUGAGAGGGUGACCGGCCACAUUGGGACUGAGAUACGGCCCAGACUCCUACGGGAGGCAGCAGUGGGGAAUAUUGCACAAUGGGCGGAAGCCUGAUGCAGCAACGCCGCGUGCGGGAUGACGGCCUUCGGGUUGUAAACCGCUUUCGCCUGUGACGAAGCGUGAGUGACGGUAAUGGGUAAAGAAGCACCGGCUAACUACGUGCCAGCAGCCGCGGUGAUACGUAGGGUGCGAGCGUUGUCCGGAUUUAUCGGGCGUAAAGGGCUCGUAGGUGGUUGAUCGCGUCGGAAGUGUAAUCUUGGGGCUUAACCCUGAGCGUGCUUUCGAUACGGGUUGACUUGAGGAAGGUAGGGGAGAAUGGAAUUCCUGGUGGAGCGGUGGAAUGCGCAGAUAUCAGGAGGAACACCAGUGGCGAAGGCGGUUCUCUGGGCCUUUCCUGACGCUGAGGAGCGAAAGCGUGGGGAGCGAACAGGCUUAGAUACCCUGGUAGUCCACGCUGUAAACGGUGGGUACUAGGUGUGGGGUCCAUUCCACGGGUUCCGUGCCGUAGCUAACGCUUUAAGUACCCCGCCUGGGGAGUACGGCCGCAAGGCUAAAACUCAAAGGAAUUGACGGGGCCCCGCACAAGCGGCGGAGCAUGCGGAUUAAUUCGAUGCAACGCGUAGAACCUUACCUGGGUUUGACAUGGAUCGGGAGUGCUCAGAGAUGGGUGUGCCUCUUUUGGGGUCGGUUCACAGGUGGUGCAUGGCUGUCGUCAGCUCGUGUCGUGAGAUGUUGGGUUAAGUCCCGCAACGAGCGCAACCCUUGUUCACUGUUGCCAGCACGUUAUGGUGGGGACUCAGUGGAGACCGCCGGGGUCAACUCGGAGGAAGGUGGGGAUGACGCCAAGUCAUCAUGCCCCUUAUGUCCAGGGCUUCACGCAUGCUACAAUGGCUGGUACAGAGAGUGGCGAGCCUGUGAGGGUGAGCGAAUCUCGGAAAGCCGGUCUCAGUUCGGAUUGGGGUCUGCAACUCGACCUCAUGAAGUCGGAGUCGCUAGUAAUCGCAGAUCAGCAACGCUGCGGUGAAUACGUUCCCGGG